CCUACGGGGGGCAGCAGUGGGGGAUAUUGCACAAUGGGGGGAACCCUGAUGCAGCGACGCCGCGUGGGUGAAGGAGCGUUUCGGCGCGUAAAGCCCUAUCGGCAGGGAAGAAGAUGACGGUACCUGCCCAAGAAGCCCCGGCUCACUACGUGCCAGCAGCCGCGGUAAACCGGAGGGGGCGAGCGUUAUCCGGAUUUACGGGGGUUAAAGGGGGGGCAGGCGGCAAUGCAAGCCAGGAGUGAAAUCCCGGGGCCCAACCCCGGGACUGCCGUUGGAACUGCAUGGCUGGAGUACAGGAGGGGCAGGCGGAAUUCCUAGUGUAGCGGUGAAAUGCGUAGAUAUUAGGAGGAACACCGGUGGCGAAGGCGGCCUGCUGGACUGUGACUGACGUUGAGGCCCGAAGGCGUGGGGAGCAAACAGGAUUAGAUACCCUAGUAGUC
rnacentral:rRNA from 1 species